AAGUCGUAACAAGGUUUCCGUAGGUGAACCUGCGGAAGGAUCAUUAACACGUAUCCAACGUUAAACAACCCUGUGAACUUUAAGUCCCCUCUUGCAGCCCAUGAGGAACAGCAAUCCCGGUAAAUCAUUGCCAAACAGUUUUGAUUCGGGACCUCUGUCCAAAAGGAGUUGCAAUCGAAGGGUGGAAGCAGUGGCAUGGCUUCCCCAAGCAGUUAGUGAAUGACAGUGUCACUGACUGUGUAAGGAUAACGCCUCACGGUUGCUAGAGGUUGAUCAUCGAAUGGCAGACAUGUCACACGCCCCUUAAUCACUCCACUUGAAAAUGCCCCGCCUAGUGGUCGCGCUAGGGAAAAAAAACCGAACAACUGUUCACACUGGAUAUCUUGGUUCUC
rnacentral:misc_RNA from 1 species